GUGCAGGUAAAGUUACAAUGUAGCUGCGUAGUGCUGUAUUGUCGUUCCCCCUGCACAAAGCAAAAUUGUCUCUUUUCUAUCCUUGUCUGUUUUGAUUCCACGGCAGACAAGGACGCUUGGUUUCAUACAU